AUUGAACGCUGGCGGCAUGCCUUACACAUGCAAGUCGAACGGCAGCACGGGAGCAAUCCUGGUGGCGAGUGGCGAGCGGGUGAGUAAUAUAUCGGAACGUGCCCAGUCGUGGGGGAUAACGUAGCGAAAGCUACGCUAAUACCGCAUACGAUCCAUGGAUGAAAGCGGGGGAUCGCAAGACCUCGCGCGAUUGGAGCGGCCGAUAUCAGAUUAGCUAGUUGGUGGGGUAAAAGCCCACCAAGGCGACGAUAUGUAGCUGGUCUGAGAGGACGACCAGCCACACUGGAACUGAGACACGGUCCAGACUCCUACGGGAGGCAGCAGUGGGGAAUUUUGGACAAUGGGCGAAAGCCUGAUCCAGCAAUGCCGCGUGCAGGACGAAGGCCUUCGGGUUGUAAACUGCUUUUGUACGGAGCGAAACGGUCCUCUCUAAUACAGGGGGCUAAUGACGGUACCGUAAGAAUAAGCACCGGCUAACUACGUGCCAGCCGCCGCGGUAA
rnacentral:rRNA from 1 species